CUAACACAAACAUCUUAACCUUUCUUGCGAAGCUGGAGCACAAAAGCCGGUGCCGGUGUGAUGCCUACACCGACUUCUGGGCUCCGGCUUUGGAAGGAAGGAGGUAGCCUCGGCUGGCAUU
rnacentral:precursor_RNA from 7 species